AAAGUCGUAACAAGGUCUCCGUAGGUGAACCUGCGGAGGGAUCAUUACAGAGUUCGCGCCCCUCGCGGGUAGAUCUCCCACCCUGUGUUAUCGCUACCGCGUUGCUUUGGCGGGCCGUCGGGCUCGACCCUGCCGCUGGCUCCGGCCGGCGCGCGCCCGCCAGAGACCCCCAUCCUGAAUAUACGUAUCGUCUGAGUACUAUAUAAUAGUUAAAACUUUCAACAACGGAUCUCUUGGUUCUG
rnacentral:misc_RNA from 1 species